AAGCCUAUGAGGAUUAGAUUUGAAUUGGAAUUACCGUCUGAACAAAUUUACGUUUGAUGUGAAUUCUGGCUGACUGAGGCUUUAC
rfam:Cajanus cajan Scaffold132190_12, whole genome shotgun sequence.